rnacentral:rRNA from 1 species
CGGAAAACUGGGGAUAAUACCCUAUAGACUAUGGAUGCUGGAAUGCUUCGUAGUUGAAAGGUCCGCCGCGGUAGGAUGGGUCUGCGGCCGAUUAGGUUGUUGUUGGGGUAACGGCCCAACAAGCCUGUAAUCGGUACGGGUUGUGGGAGCAAGAGCCCGGAGAUGGAUUCUGAGACACGAAUCCAGGCCCUACGGGGCGCAGCAGGCGCGAAAACUUUACAAUGCGGGAAACCGUGAUAAGGGCACUCUGAGUGCCCGUACAAUCGGGCUGUCCAUCAGUUUAAAUAACUGGUGCAGAACGGGCCGGGCCCGACCGGUGCCAGCCGCCGC